CAGUCGCCGCGGUAAUACGAAGGGUGCAAGCGUUAAUCGGAAUUACUGGGCGUAAAGGGCGCGUAGGCGGCACGAUUAGUCAGGCGUGAAAUUCCUGGGCUCAACCUGGGGACUGCGCUUGAUACGGUCGAGCUAGAGGAUGGAAGAGGGUCGUGGAAUUCCCAGUGUAGAGGUGAAAUUCGUAGAUAUUGGGAAGAACACCGGUGGCGAAGGCGGCGACCUGGUUCAUUACUGACGCUGAGGCGCGACAGCGUGGGGAGCAAACAGGAUUAGAUACCCCCGUAGUCCCUGUCUCUUAUAC
rnacentral:rRNA from 1 species